rnacentral:snRNA from 1 species
GACGUAUGCAAAAACGGGAACAAUACAGAGAAGACUGGCAUGGCCUCCGCACACAGAUGACUCGUAGAUUCGUGAAGAGUUCCAUGUUAGA